rnacentral:rRNA from 1 species
AAUAGAUACCCGGGUAGUCCACGCCGUAAACGAUGAGUGCUAAGUGUUAGGGGGUUUCCGCCCCUUAGUGCUGCAGCUAACGCAUUAAGCACUCCGCCUGGGGAGUACGGCCGCAAGGCUGAAACUCAAAGGAAUUGACGGGGGCCCGCACAAGCGGUGGAGCAUGUGGUUUAAUUCGAAGCAACGCGAAGAACCUUACCAGGUCUUGACAUCCUCUGACAACUCUAGAGAUAGAGCGUUCCCCUUCGGGGGACAGAGUGACAGGUGGUGCAUGGUUGUCGUCAGCUCGUGUCGUGAGAUGUUGGGUUAAGUCCCGCAACGAGCGCAACCCUUGAUCUUAGUUGCCAGCAUUCAGUUGGGCACUCUAAGGUGACUGCCGGUGACAAACCGGAGGAAGGUGGGGAUGACGUCAAAUCAUCAUGCCCCUUAUGACCUGGGCUACACACGUGCUACAAUGGACGGUACAAAGAGUCGCGAGACCGCGAGGAGGAGCUAAUCUCAUAAAACCGUUCUCAGUUCGGA